rnacentral:tRNA from 1 species
GGGGCUAUAGCUCAGUUGGUAGAGCACUUCCAUGGCAUGGAAGGGGUCAGGGGUUCAAUUCCCCUUAGCUCCACAA